rnacentral:rRNA from 1 species
CCAGACUCCUACGGGAGGCAGCAGUAAGGGAUAUUGGUCAAUGGGGGAAACCCUGAACCAGCAACGCCGCGUGAGGGAAGACGGUUUUCGGAUUGUAAACCUCUGUCCUCUGUGAAGAUGAUGACGGUAGCAGAGGAGGAAGCUCCGGCUAACUACGUGCCAGCAGCCGCGGUAAUACGUAGGUGGCAAGCGUUGUCCGGAAUUACUGGGUGUAAAGGGAGCGCAGGCGGGAAGCCAAGUCAGCUGUGAAAACUACGGGUUUAACUUGUAGACUGCAGUUGAAACUGGUUUUCUUGAGUGAAGUAGAGGUUGGCGGAAUUCCGAGUGUAGCGGUGAAAUGCGUAGAUAUUCGGAGGAACACCGGUGGCGAAGGCGGCCAACUGGGCUUUAACUGACGCUGAGGCUCGAAAGUGUGGGGAGCAAACAGGAUUAGAUACCCUUGUA